rnacentral:tRNA from 1 species
GCGGGUAUGGUUUAGUGGUAGAACGCGACCUUCCCAAGGUUGAGUCCCGGGUUCGAUUCCCGGUACCCGCA